GAUGAACGCUGGCGGCGUGCCUAAUACAUGCAAGUCGAGCGAAGCGGGGACGGGUGAGUAACACGUAGAUAACCUCCUAUAAGACUGGGCUAACUUAGGGAAACCGGAGCUUAACCGGAUACUUAGAGAUGAAUGUACGAGGCAUUAGCUAGUUGGUAGGGUAACGGCUUACCAAGGCAACGAUGCAUAGACGUCCUGAGAGGGUGAUCGGCCACACUGGAACUGAGACACGGUCCAGACUCCUACGGGAGGCUGCAGUAGGGAAUCUUCGGCAAUGGGCGAAACCCUGACGCAGCAAUGCCGCGAGAGUGAUGAAGGUCUUCGGAUCGUAAAACUCUGUUAUUAGUGAAGCGUUACCUAAACAGUAAGCCACGGCUAACUACGUGCCAGCAGCCGCGGUAAUUC
rnacentral:rRNA from 1 species